rnacentral:lncRNA from 1 species
GAUUCAAACAGCAACUCUUUAUUCCCGAACUCACACCAGCCGUCUACAAUCACGUUCUGGGGAAAUCCACGUUCUCUUCCCAAAUCCACGUUCUCUGCCCAAAUCCACCUCCACUGGGCUUCUAUCUCCNCCCCCCCUUUUUUUUUUUAUCCCACUGGCCUGCAGAGUGUUGGAGCUCCCAGUGCAACGGGCCUGGUGGACCGCCCCCACCCAGCCGGUCCCCAUCUGCCAGAAUCCGAGCUCUACCAGCCAGCUGCCCAGCGUGGGUGGGAGGACCCUCUUGCCUAUGAGCCUCUGCCAUCUAGGUGUUGGGGGGGGACCCAGGAGAUUACAGAUGGGUAUAAUCUAUCAUCCAUGUGGAGUGGCCACCUCUGGAGGCCAAGCAUCAUCUUGUCCACUGCACAGGCAGGCAAAGAGAGGCCCAGAGAACUCGAGCCUGAGAGAACCAAGGCCCUCCUGUGGCCCACCAGUCGCCUGCAGGAGCACUUAUCCCUGAUCUCCCAGCCCCUCCCCUGGCCCCCUAGGACCAGGACCCUGCUCAGCUCCAGCAUAAGGGGCCGCCCCUCAUCAACACUCUCUUGGGACAUGGCACCCACAGAGGCUCCCACAUCUGGCGACCCCAUUACCACUGUCCAGUCACAGCCAGCUAUUGGGGAAGGGGGUUUCCAACCCAUGUUGAAGGUCACCUCGGUGAGUCUUGGUGGUGGCCAAAGGGAGGACCCACACUCAUGACCCCUCCAGAACUGGUGCUCCCUGCAACCACAGGCAGGGGUCUUCUGGGACCUGAGUCUGAUGGAACGAGUGGAGGGAGUUAGAGGCCAGUCAGCUCUGGGAACACAAAGGCCAAGCUUCAGAGGAGGCCGGUCAAGCUGCCCACCUAGCAGGGCAGUAAUCGCUCAUGUUAUUAAGUAGCUACUGUGUGCCAGGUACCAUGUACUCCGGUCUGGGGCUGGCAUGGCGUUGUGGAGGGAAUGGGUGAGCUACUGGGCAGCGGAGGGGCUCUGAGUCCAGCUCACUCUGGUUACUCCUGAGGUCUGUCAGUGGCCCCACCUUUACCUUUGCCUUAUCCCCCAGCAUUGAGAUGGGUCUGGCCUCAAGCAGGGGAAGAGGCCCUGAAGGUCUCCCCGCAGAUCCAGAAGGUCCUGCUCCCCUAGGAACCCUGGGCAGUGUCCAGCACUCCCCACACCCUGGGCAGCCCACCCCACCUAGAGGAGAGUGGCAGCCCUCAGCCGGCCUUGGGUCCUGUUUCUCUGUGUGAGGGAGAGGAGGGGGCCUCCGAGAUGUCCAUGGCCAUGGAGCCUGGUCAGUCUGAAGCCACACGUAGGGCCCAGAGUGCCGGGCAGAGCUGCAGGCUGCCAGGGCAGCGCGCCCAGUGCUGGCUCCUCAAGCUUUCCAGGCAGCCGCCGCAGGCCCGCCCCCCUUCCAGAGGGGAAUUUGGGCGGGAGGCCUGCUCAGGGUGGGUUCCCACCCCGCCCCCUGCCAAGGACAUUCAUCUUGCACAAAAGGCGCGUGUGCGGCAACAAACUCCUUCGCCAUGGGGCUGCCUGGGCUUUGUGUGCCGAGCUCGGGGCCCCAGAGGCCAUCUGGGGAGCAGUCGUCCCAGUGGGCGGGGUGGGGGCUCCCCUAGGCGGCCUUUCAGGCCCCGGGAAGCAGCUCCCGGGCAACCGCACUGGGGGCUGCACAUCUGGCCCUCCAGUGCCUUCCUGUUCCCACAGCCCCGCUGUCCCCUCUCGCUGGCCCUGGCAUGGCUAGGUGUGAGAGGAGUGCUAAAGGGACACCUGCCUUCCGCCCCAUCCCUGCCACAGCAGGGCCUGGUGGGGAGGGCUGCGGGCACAGGGCCGUGGCUCUCUGGGGCUCAGUGUCUGCAGCUGUGAAAUGGGGCUGUACCAAGGGUACACAGAGGAUUCAGGGUAGACUGGGCGCCCAGUGGCCAGGGCUCUGGAGCCCCAGCCAGGCGCUGCCAACGCUCUGCCUCUGCCUCCCUCUGCCUUCCAUUUCCUGGCAGGUCCACGUUAGGGACUGCCUGGAGUCUGACCAAGGGGUCAGGGCAAGGCCAGAGUGAUUUCAGGGAGGCAGUGCAGUGUGGUCCUGCCCCACUCAAGACUCUGGGCUGAGAGAUGUACAUCCUGUUCAGCUUGUAUGCAGUAGGUGCUAAAUAAGUUUGCAGUUCCCUGCCAGGCCUCUAGCCCUGAGCACCUUGUGUCUGACCACAGCCCAGGACCUGCCUGGGGUCUUCCUGGCUGUGGACAUAUGGCAUUGGGGGUGGGGUGGAAGAGAGCCCCCAUAAGCCUUUCUGCUGAAUGCCCCCCACCACAGGGCCCGGCCUGGAGAGUCAGGCAGCCCAGGCUUCUGUGCAGUCCUGCCUGCCCUGGUGGGCCUUUCUGAGUCUGGCAAGUGGGGUGGUGGAGCAGGGAGCAGGGUGGCCAAGGGACUUCUGGGGCCAGAGCCUGGCGGACAGGGCCUCUGUGGGGUGCCUCUGCCCCCAUCCUUGCUGGGCGGCGGUCCUUGAGAGGGUGUCCUGCAGGCCCAGAGAUAAUCCCAGCUUUGAGAGGCUGUGAGAGGCUGGCUCGGGGACUUUCCCACAGCCCCACAUAAAGGGCCGGCGCCAGCUGCUCUCCCACAAAAGGCGCCUGGCCAUUCAGGGUCUCCAGGUGGGCGGGGCCAGCAGAGCAGCAGCCACAGGCUACCUGGCCACCCCCAAGCCAGACUCAGUGGACAGUGCGGCGGCGCCUCCUGGCCUGCGUGUCUCACUGCUGGCGCACUUCCUCGCUCCCAAGCCUCGCCUGUCACGUCUGCCACUCACUUCCACUCCUACCCACCCAGCCCCCCACCCUGCCCCUCAGUGUGAGGGACAGAGAGGAACAUGAUGAGGCUGAGACCUGGGGAAGACCUCCUCCCUCAUCUCAGCUUCCUCACUUGAGAUGUGGGACAGCACUGCCCCUUUUGGGGCCAGUGGAAGAGGCUCUCUGAGGCCAGCUGUUUAAAUCACCAGGUCAUGGGAGGGGCUGGAGUGGAGGGCUCUGGGGUCCCUGCUCCCAGGAAUUUGGAGCAUCUACAAUGACAACCUUAGAAUAUGAGGACCAAAGCUGGGGGUGUUGUGCACCUGCAAUCCUAGCUACUCCGGAGGCUGAGGCAGGAGGAUCACAAAUUCCGGUUCACUUUAGCAUUUUAGUGAGAGUCUGUCUGGAAAUCAAAAGAGCUGUGGGUGAAGCUCAGUGGUAGGGCCCGUUGCCUAGCAUGUGCAAGGUCCUGGGUUCAAACUCCAGCACAAAACAACCACCACCACCACCACAACCACCACCACCACCAGCCUGGAGGAGGAAGGCAGAGGGGGCUCCCUGGAGGAGUUGGCUGCUGGGGCCUGCACUAUCAGAGGUGUAGGAGGUGGGUGGGAAUCUCUGGGAGCCACAGUUCUAGCCUCUCCUUGAAGGGUCUGGUGUAAACGUCCCAUCCCAGACAUUUCUGGGACUGUCCUGUCACUCUGUAGCCUGAUCGCCUCUGUGGGGCGGCUGGGAAGACCAGUCAGAGGUGAAGAGACCCCAAAGGAGAGGUCAGAUGGCCAGAUAGCGGCCGGCGGGACGCUAAGGGCGGGCCAGGAGCUGCUCUGGAAGCAGGCCCAGGGGAUUACCACUUCCCCUGUUCUGGCGCCUGGCUGGGCCACGGGGACCCCCUGCCGGGUGCUGGCGGGCUGGACUCCUGGCAGGGAGCCUCGCAGACUGUGACCCACGUGUCCCCGGCCGGCUCACCCAUUCCCCGCACCUGAUGGGGGCGGGGCGCACUAAUGAUUCCAGCUCAGCGGGGGGAAGGGGGCGUUGUCUUUCCCUGGCCACCGAUUGGCUGUUGGGCGUGAGAAAGCGUCCAGGCACGCCCCCAGCCUCCUCGCGGCCUCCGGGUCUAUAAAGGCGCCUUACCUCUGGCCACGGCCCGCUAGCACAGCCCUCAGAACCCGACAGCGACCUCCCGUGUGGUCCAGUGCCGCGGCAGCUCGGGGUCCGCGGGCACUCCUUGCCCGCCUGCUGCCCCUCCGGGCACCAUCACAGCUUGAUCUGGCCGAGGAGCAGCGUCCCAGGUGACCUUCGCGCCCAGACUGGCCGAGGGUGGUGGUCAGGGCUUUGCCCUGACUGGGCAGGGUGCGCGCCUGCGGGCCUCCUGCUCCUCUAGUCCGCUGCUCGGCCCCCUUCCCUCUGUAGCUGACCGCCGCAGCGGCGAGGCCUUCUAACCCUCUCCUUGCACGGAGUGCACAGGAAACCGAGGAGCGGCUUGCCCAAGAGACCUGGCACGCCCUGAUAGCGCGCCGGAGCAGCCUCUGCCGCAGGGAACCCAGCGGCCGGCUGGUGAACCACAGCGCCAGGGUCCUGGAACCAGAGGAGAGGGCCUGGGACAUGGCUUCUCUCACAGCAGGGAUUUUGCUCCCCACCUGUUCCGUGCCCAGCUUCAGGGCAGGGCUCGAGCAGUGCAUCCUGUGUACAGGUGCACAGCAGUUCUCAAAAGGGCGAUAGACUUCAUGCUGAAGGAAGGGGUCCUGGGGCCGGGUUUUGUGUGCUCGGAAGGCUGCAUACUGUCUCUUGUGCCUGCAGGGGAGCUGGGCCAGGCCCUCCGGGAGGGACAGGUGUGUGGGGAGGACCUGGGCACAGCCUUCUCAGCCAGGCCAGGGGCUGGAUCCUGCUCCUUCCGGGCUGGUCAAAGGUUCUGUGCUUUAUGUUAAAGCGGGGCUGGGUGGGAGAUGCUAUGCCGGGGGCCUGCAGAGGCUGUCUGCUGGGUAUUGAGGGCUGUGGGCAUGGUGUGUGUCUCAGAGUUGUAGCACCACGGAGUUUGAAUAAAGAUGCUGAUCUGCAGCCUCUGCCUGAAUCUCUGGCCCUCACUGAAGCUGCCUGCAACCUCUGAGGUGGGGAACCCUGUCCAUACCCUAGUGGCCCUGUGCCAAGGACUUCCUGGGCUGGACCCCUCCCCUGCUGGCCUCUUCCUGGGUCCUGUAGUGAAGGCCCCGCACCAUCCCUGGAUCCUAAUGACCAGGAAGACCCUCAGGGAGGCUCUGAGCUGGGGACCAUUCUAUCUCUCCCAGGUGUGUUGGAGGAGACUUACUUUACCCCACACAAGCCCGACACCGUCUCUUCCUUAUUCCCUGUGUAAGCACUGCCUUCUUCAACUUCCUGGCCUUGCCUAGUGUCACUGUUGACUAUCAGGACCCAGGGUAGCCCUUGCACUUCCCCCUGGGUGCAUUGGGGGGAGUCGGAUGUCCUUAAAGAUACCCAGAGAGUGGGGCCCAUCCCAUCCCCAACACUGGAAGCCCCACCCAAGGAACUCCCAGACUGACAGCUGGGGAGCCAGGGCUGGGUUUUGCUGCCCCCUGGUGGCUCCUGGCCUGGUCCUGCAGCCUCCACAGCAGGCAGGACUGGAGGUCUGGAGUCUCACAUAGAAGCUGUAGGUGGACUGUCCUAGGGGUCUGGGUCCAUCCCAGCUGCACAGUUCUCAGCAGCCACCAGGGGUCACACUCUGGCACCUGGCUGAGGGUGGCGGAGGGGAUAGCAGGAAACCCAGGUCUGGGCGGGUAUUUCCGCAGAUUCUGGGAAGUUGGUCUGGGAGGCAGAGACCCAGACGGGGAAGUCAUCUGUCUGGGAAAACCCCAGGUCCAAUGGAGCUCCCCGUGCAGGUUGUGCCCUGGCUGAGGCUUGAGGCUAGGCAGGGGCAGCAGUGGGUGACCACCCGAGCUGUCUGUGGCUGUCUGUUGACGUCCCUGUGCCUUCAUGCCAGGUGGGCUCCAGCCCGCAGGGUCGGAGCUGUACCUUCUUAGUUAAGGGUGCAUCACCUUCACCCAGGAGCAUGUCUCCUCCGAGGGCAGGGCGGCCUGGCAGGCAUCCUGUGCUCCUUAUCCAGCAUAUAGGAGGUGCCCCAUACAUGUGGGCUUGAUAGAGCACGAUUCCUGGAGCCCGGGGAGCCCUGGACUUAAGGUGAGGCCCAGCUGGUUGGGGGCCUUCCGUUUCCCCUUGAGGUGGGGGUGGGGGCAGACAUUUCACAGAGCAGCUCCUCCCCAACCCAGCUCCACCUGGGGCCUCUGGUCAGGGCCAGGGAGGGAUUGCCAGGUUCAGCUGUGGCUUCUUGAGCUCUCUGCUUUCCUGGUCAAUAGGGCGGUUGGUCAUACAGAAGGCCAGUGGCCCCAGGAAGCUCAUCUGCCCCAGCAAGCAGUACUGGGGUUCCUGAUGACAGAUUUUUUUUUUUAACGGUACUGAGGAUUGAACCCAGCCUUGCUUAUGCAACCUACAGCCUCAGCCCUUUUUAUUUUGAGACAGAGUCUUGCUAAGUUGCUGAGGCUAGCCUCAAACUUUCGAGCCUCUUGAGUCACUGGGGUCAUCGGUGUGGUCACCAUGCCCAGUUUGACCACGUAUCUUGUUCAGGGGCAUUCUGAGCACUGGUGCUUGAGGACCUUGCUGGGAACCCAGGAUUCAGGCCUGGGGAUGAGCGGAACAGCCUCGCUGCGGGAUGUCCCCACUGCCCAGGACUCAGACGACUCUUCUGAAGUCUCAUAGCACCCCUAUGCUCAGACACACCCAGUGUGGGGGUCUGGUCCUUGUUCUGGAAGCACUGGACAUGCUCAUGGGGUAGGCUGGGCAGAGUUGGCAGGCCCAGGUGAGUGGCCAGCAGGUCAACUCACUGGAACAAGAAGGGAGGGGCCAGAGUAUCGCCAAGGCACCCCCUGCCAGACUCCGUCCACUCAGCCCACAGAGGAGAUGACCAGCUGUCUGGCACCUCCUAUCUGGACAUUCUGAAGCCACUGGAGAGUGUGGCCACCGCACCGUCCAUCUCCAGAACUUCCUCCUCAGCCCGGCUACAGCCCCACCAGCCUCCCUGACCUCUGUCUGCCCUGUGUGUCUGUGGGCCUCCUGUCCAGGGCCCCCUGGGAGUGGGGUUGUACAGCACAGUUACAUGUGGUGUCACUCCUGUGGGGACGUGCCACAUGUGCCACAUGUGGGCAGAUACUGUGUUGCUGAACCGGUGGGCACAAGCCCGGGAGGUGGCCGCUGGGCACAGGGCUGGACUGAACACCUAGUCUGUGGCUGAGGGGUGGGAAUGGGCUGUGCAGCCAACCUGAGCCCCUGACCGGGAAGUUGUGUGUCCCCUGGGGCUGCCUGGUGGCCAGGCCUUCAGGGCCAUGUUUGCUGGCCUAUUUCUUGAGAAGGCACCAUAUUCAAAAGAUGUGGAAUUGAAAGUAGACAGCCGGCGGACUUCCCUUGACCUGCCUGGAAGCUCACCAGCACUCUGAGGACUCAGAGGCACAUGUUCACGCACAGGCUGCUUCUCACAGACAUCAAACGGAACCUGCCAUCUCCUGCGUGGGUUGCAUGUGUGUUUGACGGUGGAUUCCCGUGUGCAUGAGUGUGCGAGCCCCUUAGCCAACCACCUCACCAAAGCUGCACCCAUGUCAGCAGGAGAAGGUGCGCUUGGGUGUCUGGAGGCACUCUGCUGGAGGGACCCCCGUGUCCAAGCCCUGUCCUCAGGGAACUUACGUCUGACCGGAGACAGCGUGGACUGAAGUGUCCUUCACCCCAGGUGCCUGGAGGUGGGGCCUGUGAGGAGGGCUGAGGUGGAGAGAGGCUGUUGGGGCCGUGGGCGCCCUUAAAUGAAGCGAGGACACAUGGGAGCACCGGGGUCUGUGAAAUGUGUCCUGGGCGGGCAAGGAGGGGCCUCCGGAGAACUGGCCCUGCACACCUGCAGCUGCCAGGGCUGUGGGCAUAAGGUCUGGUGCAGCUGUCCCGUCUGUCCGUGCUGUCCGCUCAGCCCUCCCAGCCAGUGCCCAGCCCGGGCAUGGACCGUGCUCUGUUGGCUGUGCUCUCUGGUCUCACAUAAGCACAGCCCGGCUGCCUGGCGUGUGGUGUCCUCACUCGGCUCCGCAUCCAGAUUCUUGCGGGGUACCGAGCAUGCCCACAGCUCGCUCUUCCCUUACUGCUGAGCAAAGGGUCAGUGGUUAACCUGUUCUCUGCGGCUGGCUCUGGGGAAGUUUCCAGUUCUCGGUAGUUAGGAAUCAGGAUGCUGCAAACUCCUCCCACAAGUCAUUCACCUUUGCUUGUUUGCAUAUGAGGAGUGGAAUCGCUGGCUCAGACAAAGGCGGGUCUGUGAGAAUUUGCCAGAACAUUGCUAAAAGCCGCUGCACCUCUUUACAUUCCACCAGCAGCACCUGAAGGCUCCCCCGCGCCACACCCUUGUGACACAUACGUGGGUGUGUCGCGGUGGCUUUGAUUCGUAUUUCCCUCCUCACCCACCAUGUGGAGCCAGUGUCCUGAGCUCUCUCUGUGUCUUCUUCAACCUUUUGCCUAUUUAAAAAAAUGGUCUGUUUGGAUCUGGAAUGGCCCCCAAAGGCCACAUGCUCAAGGCUUGGUCCUCAGGGUGGUGCCAAAGGGAGGUGGUGGACCUUACGAGCUGGGACCCUCUAGGAGAGGGUUGGGUCAUGGACAUGUGCUGUGGAAGGGUAUGGAGACCCCAGCCUUUCCGCUCUCUCUUUGCUUCCCAGCUGCCAUGAGCUGAGAAGCUUCCCCUGCCACGUGGUCAUCCCAUGAGGGACUCUCACCACAGACCCAAAGCAACAGGGUCAAUCGGCCAUGAACCGAAGCUUCCAGCCAGAAGAAAACUUUCCUCUUUUUAAGAUGGUUAUCUCAGGUAUCGUCUUACAGUACUGAAAGCUGACUGACAUCUCUUCUCAUUGAGCUGUAAGAGUUUGUUAAAUGUAUAUUUUUUUGGAUACAAGAUUUAUGAACUGCAUUCCCCCGCAGCGUGUGGUUUGCCUUUCAUUUCUUUAACAUCAUACUUUGAAGCCCAGAAGCCCAGCUUAGCAGUGUUUUUGUGGCAACUCACUUGUGUUUGAGGAAAGUCUAUUUACUUGCAAUGAAAGUCUGCAGGUGACGCGGCAGCUUCUGCGCUUAAGUCGUGAAGUCCAAGUCAUGUGUCUUCCUCUAACUCCAUCCUUGACCAGCGGGUGCACCGUGUGCAGAAUUCCAAGGCCGUGUGGGGAAGUCCCUGCAGCCUCAUCUCAUCUCGGCUCUGGGUGUGCAAGUGGCCUGAGUGCUGUGCUCAGCGCUUGCCUGUCGCCUGUCUGGCUGUGCAUUCCUGUAUUUGUCCUUGGCUGGUGGGUGGUGGGUUUCUUUGGUUUUAGAAAAAUCACUGCUGCUGUUGUUUCAGGUGGUCUCCCUCCCUUCCUGGGGGGGCGGCGGAGGACUCCAGGUCCACUGGUGUUCCACGCCCCACCUUGUCCAGGGGCUCCUCGAGGACGUGCCGCUUCUUCUUCCUUCUAUUUGAAGUUCAUUUUGGACGGUUCUAUUCCUCCACACUGGCCCAUGUCCUCCUGGAUGUCCACCUGGUGUUGGCAGGUGGAGGCCUGAACAGGGGAGAGGGAAGGCUGUCCUAAGAGGCGGGGGCUUGAGAGAGGUGAUGAAGGUCACAGGUCACAUGCUCCCUGGGGCCACGAGGACUGGUCCUGGAGAGGAGGAAGGUCAGAC